AGAGUUUGAUCCUGGCUCAGGAUGAACGCUGGCGGCGUGCUUAACACAUGCAAGUCGAACGAAGCACCUUGAUUUGAUUCUUCGGAUGAAGAUCCUGGUGACUGAGUGGCGGACGGGUGAGUAACGCGUGGGUAACCUGCCUCAUACAGGGGGAUAACAGUUAGAAAUGACUGCUAAUACCGCAUAAGACCACAGCACCGCAUGGUGCAGGGGUAAAAACUCCGGUGGUAUGAGAUGGACCCGCGUCUGAUUAGGUAGUUGGUGGGGUAACGGCCUACCAAGCCGACGAUCAGUAGCCGACCUGAGAGGGUGACCGGCCACAUUGGGACUGAGACACGGCCCAAACUCCUACGGGAGGCAGCAGUGGGGAAUAUUGCACAAUGGGGGAAACCCUGAUGCAGCGACGCCGCGUGAGCGAUGAAGUAUUUCGGUAUGUAAAGCUCUAUCAGCAGGGAAGAAAAUGACGGUACCUGACUAAGAAGCACCGGCUAAAUACGUGCCAGCAGCCGCGGUAAUACGUAUGGUGCAAGCGUUAUCCGGAUUUACUGGGUGUAAAGGGAGCGUAGACGGAGUGGCAAGUCUGAUGUGAAAACCCGGGGCUCAACCCCGGGACUGCAUUGGAAACUGUCAAUCUAGAGUACCGGAGAGGUAAGCGGAAUUCCUAGUGUAGCGGUGAAAUGCGUAGAUAUUAGGAGGAACACCAGUGGCGAAGGCGGCUUACUGGACGGUAACUGACGUUGAGGCUCGAAAGCGUGGGGAGCAAACAGGAUUAGAUACCCUGGUAGUCCACGCCGUAAACG
rnacentral:rRNA from 1 species